rnacentral:rRNA from 1 species
GACAGAGGUGCCGAGCGUUAGGCGGAAUCACUGGGCUUAAAGCGUGUGUAGGCGGCGGCGUAAGUACCUUGUGAAAUCCCACGGCUCAACCGUGGAACUGCCUCGGAUACUGGCGGUCUCGAGGGAGGUAGGGGCAUGCGGAACUGUGGGUGGAGCGGUGAAAUGCGUUGAUAUCCACAGGAACUCCGGUGGCGAAAGCGGCGUGCUGGACCUCUUCUGACGCUGAGGCGCGAAAGCUAGGGGAGCAAACGGG